GACAUAUUUUUGUGAAUUUUUUCAUAAUUUUUAGACUAAAACAAAAUUAAUAUGAAUUUCUAAAGUUAAAACUAAUUAAAAUAAAACAGAGUAGAUCUCAGCCAUCUGAUCUGGUCAACUUCAACACAGUAUUGACAUCGGAAGGUCCAGAUCAGAAGUACAUAGUAAGUACAAUAAGCAAAAGUAUAGAGAAUCAACUUUUAGAUCAUCUUCUCAGGUGAAGACAAGUGGAUCCGAUGGCCACUUGUCAUCACCGCAUACGCUGGCGCGGAUCACAAGGUAAGAAAGAGGAGACAUCAGAAUUUUUUAGAACAAAUCUUCCUUAUCAAAGUACCAACGUUACUAUUAUUUAAAAAAGGGAAAAGAAGAAGAAAAAACCAUUAAAUAAUAUGAUACAUUGAUGAUAAGAGAUAUGCCAGGAUUAUGAAAAGAACAAAAUGUCCUCACGUGAAAGCCAACAUCCAUAGUCAUUAUCAAUGUUCAUUUAUUUUUGUAAUAAGAAAAUAAAAAGUAUCACCUCUCCCUUAUAAACAAAAGCAACCAAAAUAUUUAAAGAAAAAGUGGAUUGAAUAACAGACAAUGAAAAACAAAAGGGGCGGUGAUCAUGAAGAAACGCACAGCGGAGUACGGCGGCUCAGCUAAAGCUUCACGGCGGCCGGAAAAAACAAGUUUCCAGAAACGUUAAAGAGCUACAUCAUUCUACUCAGUUUCUUCUCCUUGUUUCAAAUCCGAGAUUAGUUUUAUCAGAAAAUAAAUUCACAAGCACAGAUCUAAAGAGAAAGUGCUUGUGAUUUUUGUUCUAAACACAAGUAAAUAUCACAGAAAUUAGCAAUCAAAGGAUGGAAUCGUUAUCAGAGAGUAACUCUCAACCUUUUGAGGCAAAGAAGUCAAAGAACGGUGGCGAUUUGGAACUCCGGUGCGGUGGUUGCGAUUUCCGGCGGUGGUCCGGUGAGAAUAGGGGCGGAUUCCGGCGAGGGAGUUCAGAAAAGCAUGGAUGAAAUCUUGAAGAUUAUGGAGCUUGGAAGAUUCAAAGGAAGACAUAAGCAUGGACAUGGAGAAAUAUUGAAGAAAAUGGUGUGGACUUAAUAUUUUGAAUUUUUUCUUGAGUAAACAUAAUGAUGUAACUUUGAGAAUCCGUCCACCUUGUAAUAUGGAAUGAGUUGUGAACUUGAA